GACGAACGCUGGCGGCGUGCUUAACACAUGCAAGUCGAACGAAGAACCUUCCUUCGGGAGGGGGACGAGUGGCGAACGGGUGAGUAACACGUGGGCAACCUGCCCCUCGCUCUGGGAUAACCCCGGGAAACCGGGGCUAAUACCAGAUAUUCAACUCCGCAGGCAUCUGUGGAGUUGGAAAGGAUUCUGGCGAGGGAUGGGCCCGCGGCCUAUCAGCUUGCUGGUGGGGUAAUGGCCUACCAAGGCGACGACGGGUAACCGGCCUGAGAGGGCGACCGGUCACACUGGGACUGAGACACGGCCCAGACUCCUACGGGAGGCAGCAGUGGGGAAUAUUGCGCAAUGGGCGAAAGCCUGGCGCAGCAACGCCGCGUGAGGGAUGAAGUACGUCGAGAUGUAAACCUCUUUCAGCAGGGACGAAGCGAAAGUGACGGUACCUGCAGAAGAAGCGCCGGCUAACUACGUGCCAGCAGCCGCCGUAA
rnacentral:rRNA from 1 species